GAAGAAGUCAAACGGUUCGGUGUGUCAAAUCGACGGCUGAGAUUUAAAGCAAAGUCAAAGUCAAGCCACGAUAGUUGUUCAAUUCAUCUAGUUAGAUUUAAAAAAGGAAAAUGAUAUUUACCGUGACAUAUUACUGCGAAAAUUUUCUGCGACCCUGUUGGCAGUUUACGUGGCCAACUCCACCUCAGUCCUCUCUCUCGGCUUCGCGAAUGAAGUCCUCUCGCGUCAAAAUGUUUGAUUUUUUUACAUGCCCUAUCUCUCUGAGCCUCUUUUCCCUUGCGAAACGGUAACUUUUUCUUUCCCCUCGCAAAGCAGCAACUUCUCCUUCCCUUGUUGUUCUCUCUUCUCCCUCUGCUACAGUUCUCAUAUCUCCACUGUAGUUUACGGAUCUCCCUCCUUUGUCGUUUUCUCUUCUCACUCCCUUGCCCUAAUCCUCCUCCUAGCGAAAUUAGUCGAGUGUCCUAACUUCUUCAAAAGCGUCGUAACGUCUUCUCCUUCUUCAAAAGCGUCGCAGCGUCUUCUCCUUCCGUUCUCUUCCUCCCAGCGAGCCUCGUCUUCCUCCACCCAGCGUUCUCGAAGAGAGGAGCGUUCUCUCUCACUGUUCUCCCUCAGCGAGGCUCAGCUCUAUGAGUGUUUUCAAGGAUUCGAAGAACCACAUCAAGUUAUAGUAGUAAGGAGCAGUGACUUUGAGUACUCUUUGAGAUAAUCAACUUCUUUUACAUCUUUUCUUUCUUCAAUUCGUGGUAACCCAAUCCUAACUCAUCCAUACCUUCUUUUUCUUCUUCUUUAGUUCAAUUUAUGCUUCUAGUUCAAUUUCGUGCAGACAUAUUGUUCACUUUUUAGGAUCCAUUCUCUAUUUCUUUUCUAGUUUAUGUUAUUAACUUUUCUCUUAAUAAAUAUAGAUGAAGAAAGUAUCAUGGAAGAAGGAAAAAUUGAUUCGAAUGAGAUGAAGGAUAACACUGACCAUGUGGAUCAAGACCCAUCUCCAUCUACCGUCAAAGAAGUCAAGCUACAUGAGGUUAGAAUGAUAUUUUCCUCUGAAGACGAAGUUCAUACUUUUUAUAAUUCCUAUGCUACCAAUGUUGGUUUUGGGAUUUUGAAAUUAGGUGGUAGGAAUGGAGAUGAUGGAAAAUAAAAAUAUUUUUCUAUUGGAUGUGCAAAAAAUCGCAAGAAAGGAUCUCAAGCUAAAAAUAUUUUACACCCUCGACCUUCUAGUAAGACAAAUUGCAAAGCUAAAAUUAAUGUAGUUGUUCGAAAUGAUGGGAACUUUGUGAUAACUAGUGUAGACAUUGAGCAUAAUCAUAUCUUGAGCUCUGGAAAGUCACGACAUUUAAGAUGUAAUAAAGUAUUGAAUUCAACUACAAAGGGAAAAUUAGAAUUAAAUGAUCAAGUUGGAAUAACUUUAAGCAAAAGUUUUCACUCUUGUGUAGUUGAGGCUAGAGGUUAUGCAAAUUUAUCAUUUGAUGAGAGAAAAUGUAGAAAUUAUAUUUCAGAAGCUAGAAGGUUGAGGUUAGGGGAAGGAGAUGCUGAAACUUUGAGUAAUUAUUUUUGCCGCAUGCAAAGUAGGAACCCAAACUUUUUUUAUGUGCUGGAUUUAGAUGGUGAAUCUCAAAUAAAAAAUAUUUUUUGGGCCUAUGUAAGAUAUAGGGAUUCAUAUGAUUAUUUUUGUGAUGUCGUGACUUUUGAUACAACCUAUUUGACUAAUAGUUAUGACAUGCCUUUUGCUCUAUUUGUUGGGGUGAAUCGUCAUGGGCAAUCUAUCUUGUUGGGAUGUGGAUUAAUAUCAAGUGAAGACUCAACAACAUUCACAUGGUUGUUCAACUCGUGGUUGACAUGUAUGCAUAGAUGUGCUCCAAAGGCUAUAAUCACAGAUCAAUGUCGUGUCAUGAUAAUCGCAAUUGAAGAGGUAUUUCCGAAUUUUCAUCAUCGUCUAUGUCUUUGGCAUAUUAUGAAAAAAAUUGCCAGUGAAGUUAGGUGGUCAUGUUUAGUACAAAAUGAUAAAGAAACAAUUGAAAACCAUUGUUUAUAACUGGCUUACAGUUGAUGAGUGUGAUGAGAACUGGUUAAAAAUGAUUGAUAGUUCAAGUUGGAGAACAAUGAUUGGUUGAAAUCUUUGUAUGAGGAACGAAAUAGAUGGAUACCUGUGUAUGUUAAAGAACACUUUUGGGCUGGUAUGUUUACAACUCAAAGAAGUGAAAAUAUGAAUCCAUUUUUUGAUGACUAUGUUCAUUCUAAAACAUUUUUGAAGCAAUUUGUUGAGCAGUAUGAUAGUGCAUUGAAGAAGAAUAUUGAGAAUGAAAAAAAAUUGGAUUUUGUUUCUUUUAAUUCUAUCAUGCCAAUUAUUCUUGGUCAUUCUAUUGAAAGACAAUUCCAAAAUGUCUACAUUAACAAUAUGUUUAAGUUGUUCCAAGAUGAAAUAAGAGGGUUGAUGUUUUGCGAUGCCUCUUUGUUGAGGGAGGAAGGGGCAACUUUAAUAUUUGAAGUAGUAGAAAAUAUGUUGGGACAUAAUGGACAACCUGGAAGGGAAGUUUUCUUUAGGGUACAUUAUAUCGAGUUAGAUUGCUAAUUGAAGUGUGUGCGUCGUCUGUUUGAGUUUCGGAGAAUUUUAUGUAGGCAUAUGAUAAAAGUGUUGAUGAGAAUGAAGGUUAUUGAGGUUCUAAUGAGUUAUAUUAUCAACCGAUGAUGCAAAGAUAUUAAGCGUGUGUAUCAAAGCAUCAGUAACAUAUAUGAUGAUUAUGAUUGUGGUGGGAAAAGACUUCGGUAUAAUACUCUCAUCCCAUUGAUGCAAGAUGUUCAACAACUUGGAGCUGAAAGUGACAACAUUUGUUCUGUUUUGGUGGAAAUCAUGAAAGACACUAAGGAAAAACUUAUUAUUGCUAUGGAAAAUGGGCAAUCAAGGGCUGAACAACUUGAAGAAGCAUCUACAUCCAGGGCAAAAGUGAGACACUCUCCAUUGAAAGUAAAAACCAAAGGUCGUCCACUCACAAAGAGGAAACAAUCUAAAGUUGAACAAAUUGUGAAGAAAUCAUUUGCAAAAGCCCGAAAGAAGCUAUGAGUACUGGUUUUUGGCUGACGAUGGAAUGAAAAUUCAGACUUUUGGAAGAACAUGGAUCCCUUUUUACCUCUGUUACAUUGGACGAUUUAUCUGAAGUUGCGGCUUCUGAAGUUGCUGGUUUGGAAGAAUAUGGAAUUUUGUUAAGUUGCUGGUUUUAAAGUUGAAAUGGACUUUUGGAAGAACAUGGAAUUGCUAUUAGCACUGUUAAAUUGUUAUUAACACUGUUAUUCUACUUGUAAUGAAAUUGUUUCUCUUUUUGGCUUA